UGCGUUUACACCCUGAGGAAGUGUUCAAAUUUAUCCUCAAAGUAACGGAAGCACCACGUGGGUCGGCUGGGUAGACACCAAGUCCUCCAAGCCAGGUUCCAGCUGCGGCGCUGCUGGCGGCAGCCAGCUUGCUUUCACGGCAUUCAAGCUUAAAGCUCCCGGUUCUCAGGAUCAAACCACCGCCUCUGAUGCCAAAGAGGUCCUGCAGGAAGCUGCCUUGAAUUAACGGCCCAAAGAGGACCAUGAGGCUUGAAAAGUGGGGAAGGUCAGGCGACAUCAUUUGUGGGGCCCAGUGCAAAAGGAGGAUGCAGCCCCUUUAUUUAAAAAAUUAUUACAAAUUUGAGGAAAGUAACAGCAGAUCAUCACGCCAACCCCCAGGAAGCCGGCAGUGCUGGCAGACAAGGGGUGAGACACGGAACAACACUUCCUUGAGAUCUCGGAAGCCUCAGCAUCUGGAGCUUCUUUAAGGCGGCUGCCUGCCCUUGGAGGUGCUGUAG